AAGUCGCCACUCGAGAGGGAAGAGAGAGAGAGAGAGAGAGAGGUGCGCGUUUCGAGCGUAUCAAGGCCAAGGUUUAUUAGCGUCGGAUCAGUUUCAGAAGCCAGGCUUAGGUGUCAAGUGGUCGCAAGUGGUCUGAAGUGGUGCUCGUAAAACGCGAAUAUAAACGACGGACGGCCGGUCGAAAGUGUUGCCGUCUGCUGCGGCGGCGGCUCCGCUUUUGCCUCACUUUGUCCUUUGCUCCUUUGCUCGCGCUGCUCCAUUCCCGCCAACUUUUUCCCACCACCACCACCACCGCCACCACCGCUAUAUUUAGUCUGUCAACACGUAGAUAGAUCGAAGAUGCGAGAGCGAGAACGCGUAACGCGUUUCCCUUCCCUUCCCUUUCCGAAUUUUGCCUCGCCACUUAACUACCUAACGUAAUGAAACCGCGACAAUGAGAAUAUUUUCGUAUUUAGGUCAAACGCGUCAAAGGCUGUGAAAUAUUGGCCGACGGUAAGGAAAUUAAUCGAUGGUAUAGUUUCCGUCACCACCGUCACCAGCAACACUAUCUCUUAAAUCGAUAUAACGGAGGAGUGUACGUACGUACUUACGUGCGAGCAGUCCGAUAACGCUUGGUCGGAUAGCACAGCGGAUAGAAAGAACGGCGGACGGCUGGAAGGCGAUGGAAAAUUCAUGGCCGACGCACGGUUUGGAAUACCGUUUCCAACGGCCGUUCAUUAUCGAGGGUGGAAGAGGAAGAGCUCCCCUUCUGCUCGAGCGAUUUCGGUAGCCGAGUGGACGCGGCCGAUGCCACCACGAUUUUCGCAAUAAUUUCAACAGUUGCGGCGCGGAGAGAACUCGAAACCGGUAUCCGAGCGUGGAACUUGAAGAGGUUGCCGAUCAUCUCCAGUCCGCCCUUCUCCCGAUCGGUCCAAAAUCGACGAGGAUGACUGCAAAAAGAAAAGAGGAAAGGAAGGAAGAUAUCGGAAUCCCUCGAAAUGAAGCGACGAUGCGGUGAAGAAAAGAGGAAUGGCGGAGAAAAACCCGAGAUGUAGAAAUCCCGUUACCAUAAAGGCUACGAAAUUGGAAGCCGUAGCAGCAGUUUGGAAGGGAGAGAAUAGCGCGGGAACAAAGAUCGUGUUCCAGCCGGGUUGUCCUACUUGAAGAAUAUUCUUAAACUUGGGUGGGCGCACGUGCUACGAACUCUCAUAAAUUAGAGAUGCUCGAUCGGCCAAUUAAUACGAUGUUUCCAGUGGCGUACGAUCGGCGGAGGAUCUCGGAGGAGAAAGCGUGGAGAGGAAGGAGAGUGUAUCGGGCGUCUGGGGAUCGAAAUCGAGGGAGGACUGAAACGGUUGGCGCGCGGGGCCCGAUUGGCAGGAAUGGAGAGAGGGACGAAAAUUAUUGGUCAAAUACUGAGAAAGCGGCAGCGCGUACGUACAUCAGACGCGUGACGCCGCUGGCAUAAAUUAAAUUAGCAUAAUUUCGAGUUGUCGAGCAACAAAGUGAAAAAUGCCGCGACACGCCGUGGGAACAACCUGGUCUCGAUACGAUUUCGAUUACCUUUCGAUUACUCGCGAAUUACCCCGGGACACGUGAAAUUGAUUCGAUUAGCGGAUUCAACUUGUCUUCGAAUCGAGAGAACGAUUAUAGGUCGUAUAUGUAGAAUGGAGCUGGUCGACGAACCGUGCCUCCUCCACGAUCGCUGCUGCAUUUUCGUUGCAGGGAAAAAGAGAAUUUGCCAGAUUGAUGAGAACGAUAAAUGCAAGUGUGCCCGUUGAAGGAUAUUUGCGAUCAGUGGAAAGAUUAUUAUUGUUAAUUAAAGAAUGUGUGAUAUGAAUUAUUAUAUGUGCAAUUUGUAAAUCUUUUGCCUUAUUUAUAUACGAAUAAAUAUUAUGUAACUUAGUUAUGUAACUUCGUAAGUUUACGCAUUACGUAUAUGUCAGGCGUAUUCUGAUAAUGUUAAUCUUUUCUGGAAAUGUAUAUGAAGCUUAAAUCGUUUUUAAAUCGUCACUUUUAAACGGAAUUGUAUAUAUCUCGAUGCAGCAAUGUAAUAAAAAAUUAUUAAAUCAUUUGUAACGGCA